rnacentral:rRNA from 1 species
UGUAAGCGUAUACCAAAGUUGUUGCAGUUAAAACGCUCGUAGUCGGAAUUUGGCAGUUCCGGAAGUGUGCACGUCGUGUGCGCACUUUGCGGGGACUGCUUUUGUAGUCUUGCGUAGGAUGAGGCACUUUCAUUAGUGAACGUCCUCACGCAACCACUCUUUACUGUGAGAAAAUCAGAGUGCUCAAAGCAGGCAUUUGCCGUGAAUGUAUUAGCAUGGAAUAAUAGAAUAGGACUCGGUUCUAUUUUGUUGGUUUGUUGGGACUGAGUAAUGAUUAAGAGGGACAGUUGGGGGCAUUUGUAUUCCGGCGCUAGAGGUGAAAUUCUUAGAUUGCCGGAAGACAAACUGCUGCGAAAGCGUCUGCCAAGGAUGUUUUCAUUGA